AUUGAACGCUGGCGGCAUGCCUUACACAUGCAAGUCGAACGGCAGCACGGGAGCAAUCCUGGUGGCGAGUGGCGAACGGGUGAGUAAUAUAUCGGAACGUGCCCGGUCGUGGGGAUAACGUAGCGAAAGCUACGCUAAUACCGCAUACGAUCUACGGAUGAAAGCGGGGGAUCGCAAGACCUCGCGCGAUUGGAGCGGCCGAUAUCAGAUUAGGUAGUUGGUGAGGUAAAGGCUCACCAAGCCGACGAUCUGUAGCUGGUCUGAGAGGACGACCAGCCACACUGGGACUGAGACACGGCCCAGACUCCUACGGGAGGCAGCAGUGGGGAAUUUUGGACAAUGGGCGCAAGCCUGAUCCAGCAAUGCCGCGUGCAGGAUG
rnacentral:rRNA from 1 species